GCCCUGGAGGUUGCAAAAAAUUGGUGGCUGCGACUGUUUAUUAAAAACAUAGCACUGUGCAAACACGAAAGUGGACGUAUACGGUGUGACGCCUGCCCGGUGCCGGAAGGUUAAUUGAUGGGGUUAGCGUAAGCGAAGCUCUUGAUCGAAGCCCCGGUAAACGGCGGCCGUAACAAUAACGGUCCUAAGGUAGCGAAAUUCCUUGUCGGGUAAGUUCCGACCCGCACGAAAGGCGUAAUGAUUUGGAUACUGUCUCGGAGAGAGGCUCGGUGAAAUAGACUUGUCUGUGAAGAUGCGGACUACCUGCACCUGGACAGAAAGACCCUAUGAAGCUUUACUGUAACUUGAAAUUGAAAUUGGACUUUAUUCGCGCAGUAUAGGUGGGAGGCGUUGAGAAUACUCUUGCGGGAGUAUAGGAGCUAUUAGUGAGAUACCACUCUUAUAAUGUUAGGUUUCUAACUUUGAACCAUUAUCUGGUCAAAGAACAGUUUCAGGCGGGCAGUUUGACUGGGGCGGUCGCCUCCCAAAUGGUAACGGAGGCGUACAAAGGUUUCCUCUGAACGGAUAGAAAUCGUAUCUAGAGUAUAAAGGCAUAAGGAAGCUUGACUGUGAGACCUACAAGUCGAGCAGGGACGAAAGUCGGUCUUAGUGAUCUGACGGUACUGAGUGGAAAGGCCGUCACUCAACGGAUAAAAGUUACUCUAAGGAUAACAGGCUGAUCUCCCCCAAGAGUUCACAUCGACGGGGAGGUUUGGCACCUCGAUGUCGGCUCAUCGCAUCCUGGGGCUGAAGGCGGUCCCAAGGGUUAGGCUGUUCGCCUAUUAAAGCGGUACGCGAGCUGGGUUCAGACCGGCGUGAGCCAGGUCGGUCCCUAUCUGUCGUGGGCGCUGCACAUUUGAGAGGAGUCUUCCUUAGUACGAGAGGAUUAGGAAGGACGAACCCCUGGUGAUCCAGCUGUCGCGCUAGCGGCACCGCUGGGUAGCUAAGUUCGGCAGGGAUAACCGCUGAAAGCAUCUAAGCGGGAAGCCCCCCUCAAGAUGAGAUGUGCUUGCUAUACGCGUGAGACCCCUGGAAGACCACCAGGUUGAUAGGCUGCAUGUGUAAGGGGU
rnacentral:rRNA from 1 species